UACGUAGGUGGCAAGCGUUGUCCGGAUUUAUUGGGUUUAAAGGGUGCGUAGGCGGCCCUGUAAGUCAGUGCUGAAAUAUCCCGGCUUAACCGGGAGGGUGGCAUUGAUACUGCAGGGCUUGAGUGAAGUCGAGGUAGGCGGAAUUGACGGUGUAGCGGUGAAAUGCUUAGAUAUCGUCAAGAACACCGAUAGUGAAGACAGCUUACUAGACUUCAACUGACGCUGAGGCACGAAAAGUGUGGGGAUCAAACAGG
rnacentral:rRNA from 1 species